AAGGGAGCGGAAAGUUUCCGCCUUUUCUGUCAGAGCCUCCCUGUGUCACUGUGGCUAGCAUUCAGCUGGGCCACAGCAAAGGACGGGAAGUUGCCUGUGGACAGUGUGAGAAGAAGUUUUGAAGAUGAGAAUCAUGAUCAGACAUUGCUAGCUGUUCUCUUAUAACCUUGUCAUUUACCUGACACAUAUAUGAUGGGGAGGACAAUGUGGAAAGGAAAACUGGAAAAAAGGACUUCCGACUUCAUCUUGGUGUAGGGGUGACCUGGGUUUUCCUUCAGCCAUUGUUUAGCAUGGCCAUGCCAAUUGAGAGAGCCAAGCAGGCUCUCCCGCCUGAAGAUCAUACAACGUCAAAGGCAAGUGCUCAAGGCUCU
rnacentral:lncRNA from 1 species